rnacentral:rRNA from 1 species
UACGUAGGGGGCUAGCGUUGUCCGGAUUUAUUGGGCGUAAAGAGCGUGUAGGCGGCCAGGUAGGUCAGCUGUGAAAACUCGAGGCUCAACCUCGAGAUGUCGGCUGAAACCAUCUGGCUAGAGUCCGGAAGAGGAGAAUGGAAUUCCCGGUGUAGCGGUGAAAUGCGCAGAUAUCGGGAAGAACACCCGUGGCGAAGGCGGUUCUCUGGGACGGUACUGACGCUGAGACGCGAAAGCGUGGGGAGCGAACAGG